UACGUAGGCAGCAAGCGUUGUUCGGAGUUACUGGGCGUAAAGAGUGCGUAGGCGGUUUCGUAAGUUUGGUGUGAAAUCUCCCGGCUUAACUGGGAGGGUGCGCCGAAAACUGCGGGGCUGGAGUGUGGGAGAGGUAAGCGGAAUUCCUGGUGUAGCGGUGAAAUGCGUAGAUAUCAGGAGGAACACCGGCGGUGUAGACGGCUUUCUGGACCGUAACUGACGCUGAGACACGAAAGCGUGGGUAGCAAACAGG
rnacentral:rRNA from 1 species